rnacentral:rRNA from 1 species
AACGGCCGUACCAUGCUGAAUAUACCGGUUCUCGUUAGAUUGCCGAAGUUAAGCAUCAUUGGGCGCGGUCAGUACUUGGGUGGGUGACCACCUGGGAACACUGCGUGCCGUU